ensembl:misc_RNA Metazoa_SRP Metazoan signal recognition particle RNA
GCUGGGUGUGGUGGUGCACACCCAUAGUCCCAGCUACUCAGGAGGCUGAGACAGGAGAAUCGCUUGAACCCAGGAAGCGGAGGUUGCAGUGAGCCGAGAUUGUGCCACUGUAUUCCAGCCUGGGUGACAGAGCGAGAUUCAGUCUCAA